CAUCUCUCAAUGCUUACCGCAGGCAGCUUGCCAUAAAUGCUGACUGCAUAGAAAUGAGAGAUACAGAAACAGUGACCUUGCAUACACCACACCUGGGCCGCGUCUUGCCUAGGCUGUAUUGUUAGCAGGGGACAGGU